rnacentral:lncRNA from 1 species
CCAGAAGAAGAAGAGAGAACUCUCAAAAAGAAGGAAAGCGGAGAUGAGUACCUGGAACAGGGGAUCACACGGGCAGAGUCUCGAUGGCAAAAUGAGGGGGGUAGAAACCUGGGUAUGGGCAACCCUGUAUAUAUAGUACCCCCCGACAGACAAGAUGAAGGCACGACCAACGAGGGAUUCCCAGAUCGUACCACGUGGCAUCAUCUAGGCCGUCUGUCGGCCCGACGGUUCGACGUACCCA